rnacentral:rRNA from 1 species
AUUGAACGCUGGCGGAAUGCUUUACACAUGCAAGUCGAACGGCAGCACGGACUUCGGUCUGGUGGCGAGUGGCGAACGGGUGAGUAAUGUAUCGGAACGUGCCCAGUCGUGGGGGAUAACGUAGUGAAAAUUACGCUAAUACCGCAUACGAUCUAUGGAUGAAAGCGGGGGAUCGCAAGACCUCGCGCGAUUGGAGCGGCCGAUAUCAGAUUAGGUAGUUGGUGGGGUAUAGGCCCACCAAGCCAACGAUCUGUAGCUGGUCUGAGAGGACGACCGGCCACACUGGAACUGGGACACGGUCCAGACUCCUACGGGAGGCAGCAGUGGGGAAUUUUGGACAAUGGGCGAAAGCCUGAUCCAGCCAUUCCGCGUGCAGGAUGAAGGCCCUCGGGUUGUAAACUGCUUUUGUACAGAACGAAAAGGUUUCUACUAAUACUAGGAGCUCAUGACGGUACUGUAAGAAUAAGCACCGGCUAACUACGUGCCAGCCGCCGCCGUAA